UACGUAGGGUGCAAGCGUUAUCCGGAAUCACUGGGCGUAAAGAGCUCGUAGGUGGUCUUGUAAGUCGCAUGUUAAAGCCCCAGGCUUAACUUGGGAAAUGCGUGCGAUACUGCUAGGCUAGAGGAUGGGAGAGGAAAGCGGAAUUCCAGGUGUAGCGGUGAAAUGCAUAGAUAUCUGGAAGAACACCAGUGGCGAAGGCGGCUUUCUGGACCAUUUCUGACACUGAGGAGCGAAAGCUAGGGUAG
rnacentral:rRNA from 1 species